AUGACGCCUAACUGGUUUGAGAGGAUGAUCAGUCACACUGGAACUGAGACACGGUCCAGACUCCUACGGGAGGCAGCAGUGGGGAAUAUUGCACAAUGGAGGAAACUCUGAUGCAGCAACGCCGCGUGGAGGAUGACACAUUUCGGUGCGUAAACUCCUUUUAUAUAGGAAGAUAAUGACGGUACUAUAUGAAUAAGCGCCGGCUAACUCCGUGCCAGCAGCCGCGGUAAUACGGAGGGCGCAAGCGUUACUCGGAAUCACUGGGCGUAAAGAGCGUGUAGGCGGAUAGAUAAGUCAGAAGUGAAAUCCUAUGGCUCAACCAUAGAACUGCUUUUGAAACUGUUUAUCUAGAGUGUGGGAGAGGUAGAUGGAAUUUCUGGUGUAGGGGUAAAAUCCGUAGAGAUCAGAAGGAAUACCGAUUGCGAAGGCGAUCUACUGGAACAUAACUGACGCUGAGACGCGAAAGCGUGGGGAGCAAACAGGAUUAGAUACCCUGGUAGUCCACGCCCUAAACGAUGUACACUAGUUGUUGUGAGGCUUGACCUUGCAGUAAUGCAGUUAACACAUUAAGUGUACCGCCUGGGGAGUACGGUCGCAAGAUUAAAACUCAAAGGAAUAGACGGGGACCCGCACAAGCGGUGGAGCAUGUGGUUUAAUUCGACGAUACACGAAGAACCUUACCUGGUCUUGACAUAGGAAGAACUUACUAGAGAUAGUUUGGUGCUAGCUUGCUAGAACUUCCAUACAGGUGCUGCACGGCUGUCGUCAGCUCGUGUCGUGAGAUGUUGGGUUAAGUCCCGCAACGAGCGCAACCCUCGUCGUUAGUUGCUAACAGUUCGGCUGAGAACUCUAACGAGACUGCCUACGCAAGUAUUUAUGGUGGGGAUGACUUCAAGUCUUCUUUUCCCCUUACCACCCCC
rnacentral:rRNA from 1 species